UACACCGAGUUUUCUCCACUUUUUAUCCACAUACUUGUUUCAUUUAAUUAUAUGUACUUGGUUUUUCUGAGUACACAACAUGGUUUGUGGUAUGAGACUUAAGUUUCAGAGCUGUGCGCCCCUGUGCGCAUGUCCAUUUCCGGUUAGCGCUCAUUGACCGGAAGUAAGCGGUCAAAGCCGUUCACGCAGACCCAGGGCUCUCACGGAAGGUUGGCUCUAACGUUGAUUUCGAUCCAGACUGUACAAGCUCAAGUUUACAAGUAAAGAAAGGACAAUCCUCAAAAAGAAAGUCUUGGAUUGUGGCCAACUGUCUUCCACUGAGAAUCAAAUCAGUGUCUACUGGAGGAGGCAUGCACUGGACAUGUAGGUUUUGCGCUUUUGUCUCUUUAAAACGUGGCCAGCUAUUAAAGCAUUACAGAUUGAAGCAUGGUGUCUUCACAAGAACCUCCCCAAUACCGUGUCUAGGGUUGUCACGAUUUCAAUUUUUUGAGCCACGAUUAUUGUGGAAGGAAAUAUUGCGAUUUUACGAUUAUUCACGAUUAUCGACAUUAUGAAAGAAAAAAACCCAGUGUUUGUAUUUAAAUAAACUCUUUAAUAAUACUUAAACUUUUAAACAUUUACUGUUCUUAUAAAAUAAAAUAAAUUGUUCCAACACGUCUUUGUAGUAAAUAAAAGUGCAAAUUGCAUUACAAAACAGUCAUUAACUUGAGGAACUUAAAGGCUUUUUUAGCUGCCAUCAUUAAAACAAAAGUGAGUAAAUUCUAGUAAGUUCUCGUGAAGUGCCUCUUUGAGACUUUUAUGUAUUAUGGAAUGUUGCAAUUUAAUGUAUGGUUGAUAACGUAGUGUUUACUUUGUAAAUCAAACAAAACAAAAAGACAUAAAAAGAAUACAUUUAAAGAUUCUAAAAACACUUCAUUUUAAGCUUUAAAUAUCCUCCACAAUUUUAGACAAUAUAACUACAGAAAAAAGGAUAAAUGGGAGUCUUAUUUAUUUUUACUAAAACGUUUAUAUAAACAAUUCACCACUAAUUUUACAACAAUUAAUCAAAACACCCGGAUCAUUUCCCAGGGAAAACUCUAGAGUCUGACAGGAGGUCCAGGCAGACAGACAGCCUCCCUGUCCUGGAGGUUACUGUCUCCUCCACUACCACUGUCAGCGGGCAGCGGGGCUUCCCGGACCACACUCCCUGCUGAGGGGACCGGGCCGACAGCAUCUUCGGAGGAGGGCACGGGCUUCCGGAGCCAAAACAACCGGCGGGUCGGGAGCUCCGGUUCC